AAGUUAGCCCAACACAGCACGUCGCGUGUGCCUGGCCUGCUCAGGGAUUGGGCAAUGGGCUGGGGGCUGUGAACACAUCGCUGCGUUCGUUUAUUAUGGUCUGUCCUUCUAAGAAGUCCCUAAUUUGGCUGCAAGGAUUAGGACACAGUUCCCAAGCAGAGCCCACGCUGGCAGGGGGCCCAGGAGCUGCGGAGGAAAUGGGUCUAAGCGAAGAGACCAUCUGUUCGCUCCAGGUGAGCUCAUUCAUUCCACAGCUGCUGCUGAAACAGUGACUCCCAAGACACCAUCUCCAGCCCCUCGCCCCACCCCGGUUCUGGGUCAGAAAGUCCAGCUGUAUCCUGGACAUGUGGAUGUCCCUGGCCACCUAAAAUGGCUCAGAAAAUCAAGGACAAGACAGAACUUGUGUUCCUGUCUCUGCCAAAAAAGCCGCCACCUACUGGAAACCACCACAAGCUGGAAAGCAGGCAGCAGUGAUGUGCUGGUAAGCAAUUUAGCAACUGGCUUUGUGAUGGGGGGGAAGCCCUGUUUCAGAGCGUUUGCCAAUUUUUGUGGUACAGAGACUCCCACCAUAGCCAGUCUCAAGCUAGCUACCAACAUGAAGACGCUAAGUGCCAAGUUG